rnacentral:rRNA from 1 species
UAUGUAGGCGGCGCGGAAAGUCAGAUGUGAAAUCCCGGGGCUCAACCCCGGAACUGCAUCCGAUACUCCCGCGCUAGAGUAAUGGAGGGGUAGCUGGAAUUCUCGGUGUAGCAGUGAAAUGCGUAGAUAUCGAGAGGAACACUCGUGGCGAAGGCGAGCUACUGGACAUUUACUGACGCUGAGAUACGAAGGCCAGGGUAGCGAAAG